UCUCUGUUAGUAUAUCGGUUAGUACACGCGCCUGUCAAGUUUGAAUCUGAUCGCGCGAAAGCUGGGUUCGACUCCCAGACAGAGAG